AAAGGUUGAUGCUGGCUCAAGACGAACGCUGGCGGCGCGCCUAACACAUGCAAGUCAAACGGAGCUUAUAGAGCUUGCUUUUUAAGCUUAGUGGCCAACGGGUGAGUAACGCGUGAGUAACCUGCCAUAGAGUGGGGGACAACAGUUGGAAACGACUGCUAAUACCGCAUAAACCCACGGUACCGCAUGGCACUGAGGGAAAAGGAUUUAUUCGCUUUAGGAUGGACUCGCGUCCAAUUAGCUAGGUUGGUGAGGUAACGGCCCACCAAGGCGACGAUUGGUAGCCGGACUGAGAGGUUGAACGGCCACAUUGGGACUGAGACACGGCCCAGACUCCUACGGGAGGCAGCAGUGGGGGAUAUUGCACAAUGGGGGAAACCCUGAUGCAGCGACGCCGCGUGGAGGAAGAAGGUUUUCGGAUUGUAAACUCCUGUCGUUAGGGACGAUAAUGACGGUACCUAACAAGAAAGCACCGGCUAACUACGUGCCAGCAGCCGCGGUAAAACGUAGGGUGCAAGCGUUGUCCGGAAUUACUGGGUGUAAAGGGAGCGCAGGCGGGAAGACAAGUUGGAAGUGAAAACCAUGGGCUCAACCCAUGAAUUGCUUUCAAAACUGUUUUUCUUGAGUAGUGCAGAGGUAGAUGGAAUUCCCGGUGUAGCGGUGGAAUGCGUAGAUAUCGGGAGGAACACCAGUGGCGAAGGCGGUCUACUGGGCACCAACUGACGCUGAGGCUCGAAAGCAUGGGUAGCAAACAAGAUUACAUACCCUGGUAGUCCAUGCCGUAAACGAUGA
rnacentral:rRNA from 1 species